rnacentral:rRNA from 1 species
GCACAUAGCCGAACUAGAGUAUCGCCAUGGAACUGGAAAACGGUCAGAUCCUACGGGAGGCAGCAGGUAGGAUCUCGCAUUGGGCGAAGCUGACCGAGCACGCGCGUGGAGUGAUGAGUCCUCCGAUCGUAAAACUCUGUUAUUAGGAGACAUAUGUGUAAGUACCUGUGCACAUCUGACGGUACUAAUCAGAAAGCCACGGCUAACUACGUUUGCCAGCAGCCGCGGUAAUACGUAGGUGGCAAGCGUUAUCCGGAAAUUAUUGGGCGUAAAGCGCGCGUAGGCGGUUUUAAGUCUGAUGUGAAAGCCCACGGCUCAACCCGUGGAGGGUCAUUGGAAACUGGAAAACUUGAGUGCAGAAGAGGAAAGUGGAAUUCCAUGUGACUCUAGCGGUGAAAUGCGCAGAGAUAUGGAGGAACACCAGUGGCGAAGGCGACUUUCUGGUCUGUAACUGACGCUGAUGUGCGAAAGCGUGGGGAUCAAACAGGAUUAGAUACCCUGGUAGUCCACGCCGUAAACGAUGAGUGCUAAGUGUUAGGGGGUUUCCGCCCCUUAGUGCUGCAGCUAACGCAUUAAGCACUCCGCCUGGGGAGUACGACCGCAAGGUUGAAAAAGGAAUUGACGGGGACCCGCACAAGCGGUGGAGCAUGUGGUUUAAUUCGAAGCAACGCGAAGAACCUUACCAAAUCUUGACAUCCUUUGACAACUCUAGAGAUAGAGCCUUCCCCUUCGGGGGACAAAGUGACAGGUGGUGCAUGGUUGUCGUCAGCUCGUGUCGUGAGAUUUGUGUUGGGUUAAGUCCCGCAACGAGCGCAACCCUUAAGCUUAGUUGCCAUCAUUAAGUUGGGCACUCUAAGUUGACUGCCGGUGACAAACCGGAGGAAGGUGGGGAUGACGUCAAAUCAUCAUGCCCCUUAUGAUUUGGGCUACACACGUGCUACAAUGGACAAUACAAAGGGCAGCGAAACCGCGAGGUCAAGCAAAUCCCAUAAAGUUGUUCUCAGUUCGGAAGUCUGCAACUCGACUACAUGAAGCUGGAAUCGCUAGUAAUCGUAGAUCAGCAUGCUACGGUGAAUACGUUCCCGGGUCUUGUACACACCGCCCGUCACACCACGAGAGUUUGUAACACCCGAAGCCGGUGGAGUAACCUUUUAGGAGCUAGCCGUCGAACGGUUGACCCCAG